ensembl:miRNA mir-238 ncRNA
UCUCCAUUGACUGUUUGGAUGUUCUCGGACGUUCAAAGCUACAUCCAACAAAUUGGUAGCUUUGUACUCCGAUGCCAUUCAGAUAGUUAUGAGCCAUG